rnacentral:lncRNA from 1 species
GUCUUCUCUCCCUAAACCAACACAUGAUCUUCCUCUUUUGAAGUGCACCACACCAUAUGGCUAGAUGUUCAGUUCAUCAACGCCAAUUCUCCCAGCCGAUACUGAUAUCUGUUAGCGUGUGUCAUGUAGCUGUCUGAGAUGUUUCCCUUCCUUUAUAACAGUCUGCCUGUAUGUCAGGCUGCAUGUCACUCUGCAUGUCAGUCAGUGUAUCUGUACAUCUCUUUGUCUGUCUGUCUGCCUCUCUAUCAACAUGUAUUUCUGACUACUGAUCUCUCUCUCCGUAUAGAGAAAUAAAGAAUGUGGACUGUGUAGCCUUUAGAGAACCUAGACUGAGGCAAUUUAUCUCCAGGUCCAUAUAUUAUCUCCAGGUCCAUAUAUUAUCUCCAGGUCCAUAUAUUCCCCCAGACAGUAACACCCAGACUCUUCCAAUCAUGGCGAGCUACUUCAACAGGACCAGGAAGAGAAACGUCACCCUCUUUCAUCUAGACAUAACUCCACGAGACAACAGAACUGUCCAUGGUAGAAAAAGAGGAGAUCAUAUUUGAAAGAAGAAUCGUUCAUAAAUCUCUUAUUUAUGCACGCCCGCAGCCAUCAUUCCUCUGACGGCCUCCAGUUACGUGACCCUUUGUUGCCAUGGUGACCUCUUGACCAACGGCCAGGGGCUUUAUUGUCAGGGGAAACCUAUGUUUACAUUGCCAAAGCAAGUGAAAUAGAUAAUAAACAAAAGUGAAAUAAACAAUAAAAAUGAACAGUAAACAUUACACUUGGAACACAGAAGUUCCAAAAUAAUAAAGACAUUUCAAAUGCCAUAUUGUGUCUAUAUACAGUGUUGUAAUGAUGUGCAAAUUGUUAAAGUACAAAAUGGAAAAUAAAUAAACAUAAAUAUAGG